CUGACAGGAGUUUUGCAGGCAGGGUGAAAACGACCUCAGCUGAGGGCAAAGGAACUUCAAGAGAGAAUACUAUAAAGACCAAGGAAGAGAACCAACCAUAAUUGAAUCAAGAGAGAAGGUGAGAGAGACAGAGAAACAUUGAAGUGAGAGAGAAACAUCUGUCUUGGUUGCCUCCUGUACAUGCCCUACUGAGCCUGGAACCAGCAAUCUAGGAUUUUAUAACUCUGACUUGACUCUUUGAUAUCAUCAGAAUGCAACAAAUUUGACUUUGGUGUGGAGACUGAAGAUAAGACUUGCUAUGCUUUUAGCAAAAUGAGACAGGUUGGCAGUGUGGAGUCUUCUAUGAAUGUGGUGCAAUGACCAGUGAGGCAGCAAAGGGGAAAAGUGGUUACAAGGUA